UACGGAGGAUGCGAGCGUUAUCCGGAUUUAUUGGGUUUAAAGGGUGCGUAGGCGGUAUUUUAAGUUAGUGGUAAAACGUCGGGGCUUCACCUUGAUUGGCCAUUAAAACUGGAGUACUAGAGUACAGACGAGGUAGGCGGAAUAAGUUAAGUAGCGGUGAAAUGCUUAGAUAUAACUUAGAACCCCGAUAGCGAAGGCAGCUUACCAGACUGUUACUGACGCUGAAGCACGAAAGCGUGGGGAGCAAACAGG
rnacentral:rRNA from 1 species